rnacentral:rRNA from 1 species
UACGGGGGGGGCAAGCGUUGUUCGGAAUUACUGGGCGUAAAGGGCUCGUAGGCGGCCAACUAAGUCAGACGUGAAAUCCCUCGGCUUAACCGGGGAACUGCGUCUGAUACUGGAUGGCUUGAGUGUGGGAGAGGAAUGCGGAAUUCCAGGUGUAGCGGUGAAAUUCGUAGAUAUCGAGAGGAACACCGGCGGCGAAGGCGGCUACCUGGACGGCUAUUGACGCUGAGACGCGAAAGCGUGGGGAGCAAACAGG